UUUUGCCAAGAAUGUUUCCGUUAAUCAAGAACGAAAGUUAGAGGUUCGAAGGCGAUCAGAUACCGCCCUAGUUCUAACCAUAAACGAUGCCAGCCAGCGAUCCGCCGAAGUUCCUCCGAUGACUCGGCGGGCAGCUUCCGGGAAACCAAAGCUUUUGGGUUCCGGGGGAAGUAUGGUUGCAAAGCUGAAACUUAAAGGAAUUGACGGAAGGGCACCACCAGGAGUGGAGCCUGCGGCUUAAUUUGACUCAACACGGGAAACCUCACCAGGCCCGGACACCGGAAGGAUUGACAGAUUGAGAGCUCUUUCUUGAUUCGGUGGGUGGUGGUGCAUGGCCGUUCUUAGUUGGUGGAGCGAUUUGUCUGGUUAAUUCCGGUAACGAACGAGACUCUAGCCUGCUAAAUAGACGAUUUCCGGUAUCCACAAUAGUGCUACCGGCGAAAUCAAUAUCUUCUUAGAGGGACAGGCGGCUUUCAGCCGCACGAAACUGAGCAAUAACAGGUCUGUGAUGCCCUUAGAUGUCCUGGGCCGCACGCGCGCUACACUGAAGGAAUCAGCGUGUACACCCUGGCCGAAAGGCUCGGGCAACCCGUUGAACCUCCUUCGUGCUAGGGAUUGGGGCUUGCAAUUGUUCCCCAUGAACGAGGAAUUCCCAGUAAGCGCGAGUCAUAAGCUCGCGUUGAUUACGUCCCUGCCCUUUGUACACACCGCCCGUCGCUACUACCGAUUGAAUGAUUUAGUGAGGUCUUCGGACUGGUGCGCGGCGGCCGCCUGCGCGGCCGCCGAUGCCACCGGGAAGAUGACCGAACUUGAUCAUU
rnacentral:rRNA from 1 species